CUAAGGGGGUGAGGGAGAUGGGUCUUCAAAAGGUUGGGGUGAGUCGGUCCAACGGCUUGGGGCUGAAGGGGGGAGAGAGAAGGUCUUCGAGUUAGAUGUACCGAGGAGAUGUUGCUGAAAUUUUCUAGGGUUCGGGAGAUUUUGGGGUUAGGGCGUCGGGGUGAGAAAGAAGGCGUGAGAGAGAAGAGUAUGAGGUUCGAGAGGGAGAGUUCAGAGGGUCGACGAGGGAGAUGCGGCUCGAAGAGGGAGAUGCGUUGGCGUCGAGUCAAGUGAGAUGUAUGUCUGAGGGAGAAGAGGGAGAGUGAAGUAGCUCGGGAUUGUGUAGAGCA